GCGCCUGUGGCCCAAAGGAGCAGGGCACUGGCCCCAUAUGCCAGAGGUGGUGGGUUCAAACCCAGCCCUGGCCA
rfam:Otolemur garnettii contig109398, whole genome shotgun sequence.